rnacentral:rRNA from 1 species
GAUCUGGUUCAGGAUGAACGCUGGCGGCGUGCUUAACACAUGCAAGCCGAGCGAAGCAAUCAAAUGAAGUUUCGGAUGGAUUUGAAUGACUGAGCGGCGGACGGGUGAGUAACGCGUGGGUAACCUGCCUCAUACAGGGGGAUAACAGUUGGAAACGACUGCUAAUACCGCAUAAGCACACAGUGCCGCAUGGUACGGUGUGAAAAACUCCGGUGGUAUGAGAUGGACCCGCGUCUGAUUAGGUAGUUGGUGAGGUAACGGCCCACCAAGCCGACGAUCAGUAGCCGACCUGAGAGGGUGACCGGCCACAUUGGGACUGAGACACGGCCCAAACUCCUACGGGAGGCAGCAGUGGGGAAUAUCGGACAAUGGGGGAAACCCUGAUCCAGCCGACGCCGCGUGAGUGAAGAAGUAUUUCGGUAUGCAAAGCUCUAUCAGCAGGGAAGAAAAUGACGGUACCUGACUAAGAAGCCCCGGCUAACUACGUGCCAGCCGCAGC